rnacentral:lncRNA from 1 species
GUUUUGAAUGCAGGAAAGCUUUCUAUCGUAAAUCAGAGCUUACUGACCAUCAGAGAAUUCAUACAGGUGAGAAGCCAUAUGAAUGUAAGGAAUGUGGGAAAGCUUUUUGCCAAAAGCCCCAACUUACUCUACAUCAGAGAAUUCAUACAGGUGAGAAGCCCUAUGAGUGUGCAGAAUGUGGGAAAGCCUUCUCCACCAAGUCCUACUUAACUGUACAUCAGAGAACUCACACAGGUGAGAAACCUUACGAAUGUACAGUAUGUAGGAAGUCAUUUAUCUGUAAGUCAAGUUUCAGCCAUCAUUGGAGAACUCAUACAGGUGAAAAACCUUAUGAAUGUAAGCAGUGUAUGAAGACCUUCUACCGUAAGUCAGAAAGCUUUUUACUGCACUUCACACCUCAUUGUACAUCAGCGAACUCAUACAGGUGAGAAACCUUAUGAAUGUAAGGAGUGUAGGAAAGCUUUCUACGAUAAGUCAAAUCUUAAACGGCAUCAGAAGAUUCAUACUGCGAAGAAGGCCUCUGAAUGCAAACAAUCUAACAAAUUUUUUCUGAGUAAUACUUCUCAACAUCAGACAAUGUAUUAUGAAUAUUGAGAAGGCAAGAAAGCUUUUCACCAAAAACCAAACUUUAUUUAAACAUUCAACACUCUUCUUACAGGUAAGGAAACCCUGUGAUUGGAAAGUACUUAUCCAAAAGUCAGCUCUUACUGUACAUUGGACCACUUAUACAAGGGAUUAAAUCAAAUGAAUAAACAGUGAAGGAAACCUUUGACUCUUGUU